rnacentral:ncRNA from 1 species
UGACAGGUGCUCUGCACAGGGCAGAGUGAAAAGGGAACCGGGUGAGAAUCCCGGACGAGCCCGUCACUGUAAUCGGGGAAUGUUUCCGGCAGCAGCCCCACUGGAUGAUCCGGGAAGGGGCCGGAAACGUGCUGAUCCGUAAGUCAGGAGACCUGCCUGUCAU